rnacentral:lncRNA from 1 species
GAUAUGGGUUCAGGUAUUACCCAUACCCGUAGGUUCGGAUAGAGUUAGGAUUCGGAUUUGGGUAGAAAACAGCACUACCCAUACCCGUGCUACAGUUUUCGGGUUUUACCUAAAUCCGAAUCCAAACUCGAUCAAACCCUAUUUUUCGGGUUUGACUGGGUUUGGGUAGGAUGCAUACCUAUCGGGUCGAGUCGAUUUUGCCAUCUCUAUUUUUCACUAUCUGUUUUCAAGAUCCCAACUUACU